UCAAGUGAAUUUGCAAGUAUCCCUGCAAACAGCUCCCGGCCUCUGUCAAACAUCAGCAAGUCAGGCAGAAUGGGACCCGCCAUGCUGCGGUCAGCUCUGCCUGCAGGCCCUGUGGGGGCAUCCUCCUGGCAAGCCAAGCGGGUCGAUGUUCCUGAGCUGGCAGCGGAGCAGCCCAUGGCGCCCCCCUCAACGUCCCCCACCCAACCCCAGACUCCGGAAGGUGGCGGCCAGUGGCUGAACUCCAGUUCCACUUGGUCAGAAUCUUCUCAAUUGAAUAAGACUAGAAGUAUCAGACGGCGAGAUUCCUAUCUAAAUUCCAAGACAAAGGUUAUGCCUACUCCUACAAACCAAUUUAAAAUUCCUAAGUUUUCUAUUGGUGACUCCCCGGACAGCUCAACACCAAAGCUUUCACGGGCACAGCGGCCGCAGUCGUGCACGUCAGUUGGCAGGGUCACUGUCCACAGCACCCCAGUUAGACGCUCAUCCGGGCCAGCACCACAAAGCCUGUUGAGCGCACGGCGUGUGUCAGCCUUGCCCACACCCGCCAGCCGGCGCUUCUCUGGCCUUCCACCGAUGACCCCCAAAACGAUGCCCAGGGCCGUGGCCUCUCCCCUGUGUGUGCCAGCUCGGAGACUUUCCUCUGAGCCCCGCAAGAACUCUGCAAUGAGGUAAGAGAUGAAAGUGGUAAUAAAUUGGUCUCAAAUUCCUAGGCUUGGUGUCCUAGACAUUGACAUACCUUUUUCUUGCCUUGCUCCAGGUUUUAGUGAAGUAAAUAAUAUUUGGAAAGUUUGUUGUUUUUUUUUUUUCAUUGCAAAGAGAAAAUGCAGUAGACAUGAGCAUAGAGGAAAAUUAAAGGUAUUACAAGGAAAUACUGCCUGUAAUUCUCUGAUAAUCAAUUUGAAAACCUAAUGGUUUUCUAAAAUUUGCAAGUUAUUGGCUGGGCGCAGUGGCUCACGCCUGUAAUCCCAGCACUUUGGGAGGCCGAGGUGGGUGGAUCACAAGGUCAGGAGUUUGAGACCAGCCUGGCCAACAUGGUGAAACCCCAUCCCUACUAAAAAUACAAAAAUUAGCCGGAGGUUGUGGCAGGUGCCUGUAAUCCCAGCUACUCAGGAGGCUGAGGCAGGAGAGUUGUUUGAACCCAGGAGGCGGAGGUUGCAGUGAGCUGAGAUCGCGCCAUUGCACUCCAGCAUGGGUAACAGGGUGAGACUCCAUCUCAAGAAA
rnacentral:sRNA from 1 species